CUGUAACCGUCCUUCCUGAGGAAACUACCCACCCCGCCACUCUGGCUUGCACCCCUGUCCUCUUUGAAGUAGCCAGUCAAAAUUAGCUUAGAGUGUGCAGUACAACCCUAUCCAAUAGGGGAAAGAUACAGCAGUAGGGACUAUCUGUAUUAGGAAUAAGAACCCUUUCCCCUCCCUUAUCCAGUGUGCCCUUGCCAUUGCUCCAUCUGCAAGACUCACCCUUCUAUAGAAGUAAAUUUGCCUUGCUGGAGUGUUAACUUGUUGUUGGAGUGCUAACUCUUCUUUGUGGCACCAAAAAGUUAUUUCCAACACGAAGCUGCACCCUUGGUGGAGGGAACAUCUGACGAAGUUCAAUGUUUGGGGAAAACAAUAUCUGGAAAGAUUGAAGAGUCAGCAGGAGAAACACCUAGGAAAAUUACAAGGCCUGUGAAAGAAACAUCUGAGAAAUUUGCAUGGCCACAAGAAAGACCUACAAAGACCACAUGGGAGGAAAAAGAAACAUCUGUAAAGACUGAAUGCGUGGCAGGAGUAACAUCUAAUAAAACUGAAGUUUUGGAAGAAGGAACAUCUAAGAUGAUCACAUGUCCUACAAAAAAACAGCUACAAAAGCAAGUACACAUGGAAGGAUGCAUUAGUCUUUCACCUGUUCAGUAUGAUGUUGGCUGAGGAUUUGUCUCAUAUGGCUGUUAUUAUUUUGAGGUAUGUUCCUUCAAUGCCUAGUUUUUUGAGAAUUUUUUUCAUAAAUAGAUAUUACAUUUUAUUAAUUGCUAUUUCCACAUCUAUUGAGGUAAUGUGGUUUUGUUUUUUAAUUAUUUUUAUAUGUUGAAUCACAUUUAUAGAUUUCACAUGUUAAAACAUUCCUGCAUUCACAGAAUAAUGUCCACAUAGUUGCAGUGAAAUAACUUUGAUUUCCUGAGUCAGUUUGCAAGCAUUUCAUGAAUAAUUUUUGUGUCUGUAUUCAUCAGGCAUAUUGGCCUGUAAUUCUUUUUGUUGUGUCUUUACCUGAUUAAUAUAUCAAGAUGAGACUGAUAUUAUAUGAUAGAAUUAAUUAGGAAGGAGUCCCACUUUGAUUUUUUGGAAUACUUUCUGUAGAAUUACAGGCAACUCAUUUUUGUAUACGUGAUAAAAUCAUGCUGUGAAUGCAUCUGGUUUAGCACUUUUUAUAAUUGGUAGAUUUUUUUAAUCACCAAUUCAAUUUGCUUACACAUUUUUGGUUUCUUCAAGACUUCUGUUUAUUCCUGAUUCAAUCUUGGGAGGUUGUAUAUUUCUAAGAGUUUAUUCAUUUCCUCUAGACUUUCUAGUUGGUGUGCACAGAGAUAUUUAUAGUAGUCUGCAAGUAUGUUUUGUAUUUUUGUGGGAUUGGUU
rnacentral:lncRNA from 1 species